rnacentral:rRNA from 1 species
AUUGAACGCUGGCGGCAGGCCUAACACAUGCAAGUCGAACGAGUCGCGGAAGUGUUACUAAUGUCUGGGCCUCUGCCUGAUGGAUGAGGAUAAGUAAUGGACACGAUAGCCACUACCGCCUACCUUCGCAUAUGCCCGGAUCGGAUUAGCUAGUAGGUGGGGUAAAGGCUCACCUAGGCGACGAACCCUAGCUGGUCUGAGAGGAUGACCAGUCAAACUGGAACUGAGACACGGUCCAGACUCAUACGGGAGGCAGCAGUGGGGAAUAUUGCACAAUGGGCGAAAGCCUGAUGCAGCCAUGCCGCGUGUGUGAAGAAGGCCUUCGGAUUGUAAAGUACUUUCAGUGGGGAGGCGUUACCCGCAGAAUAAGCACCGGCUAACUCCGUGCCAGCAGCCGCGGUAAUAC